CAGGAAGCUGCUUCUGGACUACAAUAGGGAAGUUUGACGAGCAACUCACAAGACUAUGCCUAAUCUUGUCAAUGCUGUGAGGUUUGUGCUUACUUCAUUUUAAAACCUUUUAUCUCUAUGGUGUAUAUGCACAAUUAUUUAUGUUAAAAUCAUGUAGUCUUUAGACUCUUCACGAUGUGCCAGGAGCAUGAGUUGUUAAUGUUACAACCAGUCUUUUUUAUUUUUUAUUUUUUGAGUACCAGUUCCACAAAAUGUCAAGAAGUGUCGUAUAUGCAUAUAGCGGUGUUGGUUCUUUUCUGUAGCACCGGUUUUCACUUCGUGGUUCAUAAGCAGAAUAUUAUCCUUUUUAAUUACUGUUGAAAAUCCACUAGUAAUAUAUCUGUUGUACAGCUACUGUUUUUCUAGAUUCAAUCUUUUCGUAUUUUGUUUUUUCCUUAAUUAGUUGAUUGAGUAAAAUCAGGAAUUAUGUACCUUGAUUUUCUCUGCUAAUUACAGCCUAAGAAUUAGUUGAGUUGCUAAAAAUAAGGGUAGAAAUCACUCAGCCCUCUUGUAUAUAAUGACCUCUUUGUAUCAGAAUAAAUGGGUGGCAGAUUCAAUUCUUCAAUUCAGAGAUUUUCAUGGUAUCAGAGCCAUAUUCUCUGAACUGAUCAUCCCUCUCCAGCCUAUUCUCUCGAUUUUUUCCUCGCUCUAUUCAUCUUUUUUUCCUUCUUUCAUCACUGUCAUCUCGUGAUCAUUCUCUAUGACGAAAUAUGGUAUGACAAUCGAACGAGAAAGCUCCAACUCCAUUCAGGAAAUUCCAGUGACUGGAAACAGUGGAGAUAGCAGCGGUGUUAUUCCAGUCACAAGUCACAAGCUGAAUGGGCACAAUUUCUUGCAGUGGUCUCAAUCCGUUCUCAUGUUUCUCCGAGGAAAAGGCAAGGAUGAUCAUCUCACAGGUCUCUCGGCCUUACCAGGAGAGAAAGAUCCCAAAUAUAGAUCAUAGAAAGCUGAGGACAGCAUGGUUAUGUCCUAGUUGAUCAAUUCCAUGAUCAAUGAUAUAGGUGAAAAUUUCCUUCUAUAUGGUACUGCCAAGGAGAUUUGGGAUGCUGCAAAAGAAACUUACUCCAGUAAUGAAAAUACCGUCGAACUAUUUGGUGAGGAGACGAUCCUUCAUGAUCUCCGACAAGGCGAAUCUUCUGUUACCCAAUACUAUAAUAAUCUAACUCGUUAUUGGCAGCAGUUAGAUAUGUUUGAAAAGCACACUUGGGAAAGUCCGAAUGAUGGAAUUUAGAAUAGAUGGAUCAUUGAGAAAAAAUGGGUAUUCAAGUUUCUAAUGGGAAACAAAGAUUUGGAUGAGGUACAUGGAAGGAUUUUGGGCACAAAGCCUCUACCAAGUCUAAGAGAAGCCUUCUUGGAGGUAAGAAGAGAAGAAAGCCGAAAAAAGGUGAUGUUGGGAACUCCAAACAAUCAGCCCACCAUGGAAGGAAUAUCCCUAGCCAUACGCGGCCCUCAACCAAGUAACCCAGAUAGCAGGAUAAAAAAGGGGAGGCCUUGGUGUGAUCAUUGUCGAAAACCAGGGCAUACCGGAGAAGCAUGUUGGAAGCUCCAUGGGAAACCAGCCAACUGGAAGCCCUCACGCUUAUCUCAUGAAAGUCGCGGCAAUGCCACAUCCUCAAUUAAUGAAAAUGGUACUUCUGAACCAGUUCUCUUUAACAAAGAGCAACUUGAACUUCUACGGAAGAUGAUUAGCCAAUCCAUUGGCUCUUUCACUGUUGCCGCAGGAUCCCUGGCUCAGAAAGGUAAUUUCUCAAAAGCCUUAAAUGUUUACAGGAAAAGAAACAAUAUUUGGAUUAUUGACUCAGAAGCAUCAGAUCACAUGACGGGUGAUAAGACUCUACUUACUGAGUUUAAAUCUUGCAAAGAAAAUCACUCAAUCAAGAUUGCAGAUGGGUCUAUUCAAAAGUAGAAGGCUAUGGUUCGAUUACAAUUUCUGAGACUUUGUCACUUCAUCUGUCUUACUUAUACCAAACCUUAAUUGUAAUCUAUUGUCAAUCAGUAAACUCACCCGGGAUAAGAAUUGUGUUGCUCAAUUUUUCCAAAAUUUUUGUACAUUUCAGGACUCGGAUUCGGGGAAGAUGAUUGGCAGUGCUGAGGUGUACUCGGGACUCUAUCUCCUCUAGGACAACCAUCAUUUGGAGGAACAAGCUCACAAGGCAGCCUCUUUGAGUCAGUUUCACAAAAGUUGUUUUUCCGCAAAUAAGGAUAGUGAGAUUAUGUUAUUACACUAUCGACUAGGACAUCCUAAUUUCUUUUAUCUUGAAAAACUGUUUCCUUCAUUAUUCAGAAAUAUAAGGAAUGAAUCUUUAGUGUGAAGUGUGUCAAUUUUCCAAACAUAUUCGUAAUUCUUAUCCUAGUCGUCCAUAUAAAGUAACACAUCCUUUCUCAAUGAUUCAUAGUGAUAUCUGGGGACCAUCUAAUAUAAAAAAAUAUCACUGGGGCACGAUGGUUUAUAUCUUUUGUUGAUGAUCACACAAGAAUUACUUGAAUAUUUCUCAUGAAAGAAAAAUCUGAAGUAGGGCAAAUUUUCAAAAAUUUCAAUGCCAUGAUUCAAAAUCAAUUCAAAACACAAAUCCAAGUUUUCAAAAUAGAUAACGCAAAAGAAUAUUUUAAAUCUGUUUUGAGUGAUUAUUUGAAUAGCCAGGGCAAAAUUCACCAGAGUUCUUGUGUUGAUACCCAUGAACAAAAUGGGAUUGUUGAAAGAAAGAAUAGGUACCUCCUUGAAGUUGCUAGGUCGUUGAUGUUCACUACUCAUGUCCUAAAACACUUAUGGGGAGAAGUUGUCCUUACGACAGCCUGUCUUAUCAAUAGAAUGCCAUCUCGUGUCCUAAAAUUCCAAACUCCAAGUCAAGUUCUUCUUAAAACAUGUCCAGAAAGUCGCAUAAUCUCCACCAUUCUUCCAAAAAUAUUUGGAUGUUCAGCCUUUGUUCAUGUAUAUCCUCAUAACAGGAGCAAACUUGAUCCCAAAGCAAUCAAAUGCAUUUUCCUUGGGUACUCACCAAGUCAAAAAGGGUACAAAUGUUACUCUCCUAUCACAAGAAGAUUCUAUAACUCAAUAGAUGUUACUUUCUUUGAGGAACAACCCUAUUACACCAAAAUCAAUGUUCAGGGGGAGAGUACAUCAAAAGAACAUCAGUUUUGGAAUAUCAUUGAAAAUCAACAACCACCUUCUCCUAUCGAAAGUCCAUCUCAAGUUCCUUCCAUUGUCAAUGAAUCUCCAAAUCUUAUACAUCGAGUCUCCUGAAUCUCUUGUCAAAACUCUACCUCAAAAUCCUCCCGACCCUUCUGCCAAAAAUAGUGAGCUUCGUGUUUACUCCAAGGGAAAUUGGCACCAAAAGGAGACGGCACAACAAGCACUUCCUGAGCAACUCCAUGAGUCUGAACCAACUCCAAGUUCAUCUGAAACAUUACAAGAUAACUCUCAUUCAGACUCUUCCCCUCAUGACUCACCUGAUAGUCGGCCCAUUGCCUUAAGAAAAGGAGUGAGAUCUUGCACAAAUCGUCCUAUUUAUACCUACUUAUCUUACAGAAGAUUAUCUCCAGAAUAUAGUGUUUUUGUCUCCAGUCUUGACAAGAUACAGGUUCCCAACAACAUUUAUGAAGCCCUGGAUAUACCACACUGGAAGGCUGCCAUUAUGGAAGAAGUUCGGGCCUUAGAGAAGAACAAUACAUGGAAGAUAGUGGACUUGCCACGAGGAAAAUGACCAGUGGGCUGCAAAUGGAUAUUCACUGUAAAACAUAAAGCUGAUGGAAGUGUAGAAAGAUUCAAAGCCUGAUUAGUAGCAAAGGGAUUCACACAGUCCUAUGGUAUUGAUUAUCAGGAGACGUCUGCCCUAGUUGUUAAACUCAACACUAUGAGAGUUCUCCUAUCCCUUGCAGCCAAUUUAGAUUGACCAUUAUUUCAACUUGAUGUCAAGAAUGCCUUCCUUAGUGGAGACCUUGAAUAAGAAGUGUACAUGGAGAUUCCUUCUGGGCUAGAAAAUUAAACUACAAAUAAUAAAGUCUGCAGGCUUAGGAAGUCAUUAUACGGGUUAAAACAAUCUCCUCGCGCUGGGUUUAUCGUUUCUCUAGGGCUUGUAUUAUGUUUUGGGCUUGCCCAAGCCUUUUUAUUUUGUUUUUGGGCUUGUAUCAUGUAUUGGGUUGGCCAAGCCCUUUUAUGCUUUGUUUUGUAUAUAUGUAUGCAGCCUGUUGCAUGGGCAGAGAACUGAUGGAAAUGAAAUGAAGUUUGAGUGUUGCAGGCCUCUCCCCCUUUUCCACCGCCCCUCCUUCUCUUCCCUCUUUCUUCUCUCCUCAUCCUCUUCUCUUCUUCUACUAUUUGUGUUCUGCAUCUUCUACUGUUUUUUUCAACUUUCACAAAUUCUGAAUUUCUUAACCUAUGCUACAUUAGAUGGUCUAGUCAUUUUUCUAACAUCUUUGUUCUAUGUAAACCCUAUAGCACAUUACUGAAAAACGAGAUAGCCUUGCCAACAGAACGAAACUGAGAUCUCAGAUAUUUCUCUUGAAAUAAAUGGGGAAGAUGAGCUGAAAGAUUGAAUAAACUCAUAUGAUAGGGUGUAAUAACUACUCGAGUAGGAGAUAAGUAGAGUAUACCAUCACUGAAAAAUUCUGACUCUGAUGUACCAAAGUUAAAUAAAAGCUGAUAGCUCCUUUACAUCUACUUGAAUUUCCUAGUGUCAUUAAACAGAGAAUUACAAAAAGCUUGUAUGCAAUCAUUGCAAGAAUAUAUGCCUGGAAUAUACCAGCCUUCAAAGCUGUUUACAAUCAGAUUUAGUUCCCUAGUGAAAUGAAUAAAUGAUGGAGAUCAUCCAGUGAGGUGAUUUAUGAUGACUGGGUUUGAAGGGAAUACCUUUAUGGCAAUGAUCUAUUAAUAGUGUUGAGAGGACUGAGUCACUGAGGAGAGAUUUGUUCUAUCAUCUUCACUUUUCGAUUAGAAGCGGAUAAGCUUUUAUCUUCUUUUACCCUUAUUUCAGCUUAAACAGCAGUAUUGCAUGGUAUCUCAAUAUCACGGUUUAUUGCAUGUGUUAUAUGUUAUGACCUUUAUUUUUUUCCUUUCAUUUAUUGUUAUUGAUAUUAGUUAUAUCAUUUUUCAUUUUUCGGUAUGUUAUUGAAAACUUUAUGCAUUUCAUUUGUUCCACAAAUAGGCAUUUACAAUUAUGAAGUUCUAUCUAAUUUUAUAUCUUAUUGCUCUACCAUGGCACAGACAGCUUUUUCAGCACAGGAGAAAAGGCUAGAUGCCUUAAUGUUAUAGGCAGCUAAAGUAUUUAUGUAUAUAGAAGAAGAUCUAAAGCUUACCUCGCAAAGUUUGUCAAAUAAAACAAUAGCAUCUCAUGAAUUGGAAGAGAUGCAUCAACAGGUGAUUAUUGAGGGUGUAGUUAUACAAUUAUUAUAUUGCUUGGAUUAUUCUUCUGUUAUGUAUUAUAAGCCUGGCUUCUAUACAAGAUGGAUAAACAAGAACAAGUAAGCAGGAUUUUUGCAUGAUAAUUGAAUUUCUUUAAUGGAUUUUGGUGUGAAAAUUCAGCAAAGAAAUCAAUAUUUUAGUUUCAUACAUUCCCUUUCUUUUCACCUGUGAGAAUAUGGUUCUCUUAACUCCAUUAGAUUUAAGUGUUAUUUGUGUUAUUCACAUGGAUUGUCCUUGUCUAGUUUUAUUGUGGACCAUUGGAUGGGAUCGACGGCUGUGAUUUAUUCUAUGUGAGAUAUUUUUUGUUGCUUUAGCUUGCGUGAGAAGCUUUGACUAUUUCCCACCAAAUAGGGGUUUCUCACGUUUUUGGCAAAACAAGUCUUUUUCUCUUGAAAUUCGGCCCUCUCUCUUCUCUUCUCUUCAAGACUUCUCUCUCCAUUUGCACCUUAUUGUGAGUGUUCUUGAGAGUGUCUUCUUGUGAGCUUCUUCUCGAGUGUCCCUUGUGAUAACUUAGGCCUGAAAUAGUGGCUAAGUAUAGGUGAUGUUUCUCAAAGUUUGGUAGAAGAGGGGUGCGGUGGUGGCGGUUUCAAAGGAGGUUCUUUGCCGGUUUUCUAGCUCUCUCUUUGGAAGGUGAUUUGCAUGACAUGGGAGCUGUUCCUGAGCCUGAAAAUCAGCCAUAAACAAGAGAAGUUGCUGUCCAGAUUUUCGGCUAUUAAUGGGUUGUAUUUUCGAUUUAUGUUUCUCGCAUUUUUACCUUGGAAUCUUUGAUUAAAUGAUGUUUAUUGUUGAUUGAACUCCCAACAAAUUGGUAUCAAAGCCAGGUUGUGGAGUUUUUGAGGCUGAAAAACAGCAGAAAAUAGACCAGAAAAAUCGGCAGAAAACAGGAAAAAAGGCUGUCCAAAAUCUGUGUGAAAAUCAGACCUUCAAACGCGAUUUCCCGCCAAACCAGAAGGAAUUUGGAAAAUCUGAGACCACCGGCGUGCUCUGCAGAUCAAGGAGGUGCUGGUGGGGUGGCGCGUGAAUUUUUCGGCUGCAGUGCGUGGGCGGUCUCCGGCGAGGUUUUUUCGGGCAGAUUUUUUAGUUUAACCUGCUGAACGUAUUAAUGUGUUUAUUUUAGUGUUUCAGGUUUUACAUAAUAAGUUGGAUGAUUUUGUCCCUGGCUUGACGUCUACAGCGAUUCGGUUCAGAAACUUGUUGAUAUAUUUACUGUUUUUCAACAGUAGUUUGGCAAGAUUAUUUCAAACUCUCCGUUAGGUUAGGUUUGAUAUUCUUACCGGUUUAUGUAUGAUUAUUGCUUGGUUGCCUAUUUGUGAGUUCCGUUGAUUGAAUUCUUGUGAUUAAUUUGUAACCUGGAAGCAUAUUUACCUGCAUUAUAUACCUGUGUUUCGUGAACGGAUUAUUUCAUUGUUGUGCUUCAUUUCUAAAAAAUUGUUUUUAACUCGGCAUUCAUAUUUUUAUAUUGAUCAUCUGGAAAAGAAUUUUUCAAAACCUUUUCUGUUAUGUCCACGAGUACAGGCCACUUUUUUACAGGAUCUGUAAUGGGUUCGAGGGUCGAAUUAUCGCAAUUCGAUGGAAAGGGGGAUUACUCGAUAUGGAAACAGAAAAUGAGGGCCAUUUUGAUCCAACAGAGAGUUGCUAAAGCUCUCGAUGAUCCCGCUACAUUUUCUGAUGAGUUAAAAGCUAAACCAACUGAAAUUGAAGACAUGAAUGAAAUUGCUUACAGUUCUAUAAUUUUGUAUCUAUCUGACAACAUUGUAAGACAAGUUGAUAGUGCUAAAACUACUAGAACUUUGUGGACUACUUUAGAUGCCUUGUUUUUAACUAAAACUUUACCUAACAAAAUAUACCUGUUGGAAAAGUUGUUUAGUUUUAAGAUGGACCCGGGGAAGGAUGUCGAGGGAAAUUUGAGUGACUUUAGCAUAAUUGUUAAGAGUCUAGCUCAUAAUGAUAAAAAAUUUGACAAUGAGGAUUUAGCUGUCAUAUUGCUAAACUCUUUGCCCGAAUCUUACAUAGAAAUGAAAAAUGCCAUAAAAUAUGGUAGGGACACUUUCACUCAAGCUAUUGUUUCCAAUGCUUUAAAAUCAAGAGAACUUGAAUUAAAAAGAGACAACAGAACUUAUUCCCGAGAAGAGAGUCUAUUUGUUAGGGGAAGACUUGAAAAGAAAGAAUUUAACUUCCAUAAUAAGAAGGGGAGAUGAAAAUCUAAAAUGAGAUCCAAAUCUAAAGAUAAAAGCGGUAAGAAAUGUUAUCACUGUGGAAAGUUAGGACAUUUCAAGAAAGACUGCUUCGACUGGGAAAGGAAACAAAAAGACCCGAACAAUUCUGAUGUUGAUAAUAUUGCUAUUGUUUCUGAAUUUGAUAGUUUGCAUGUCAUGAAUGUGUCUGAGGAAGAAUUUGAUAAAAAUUAGAUUCUAGACAUAGGGUGCACUUUCCAUAUGUGCCCUGAUAGGUCUUGGUUCUAUAACUAUAGAGAGACUGAAUUUAGGAAGGUCUACAUAGGAGACAAUAAUUCUCAAAAUGUGGUUGGAGUUGGUGACAUAGCCAUCAGAAUGUACGAUGGGGCCAUUACGCAACUUAGAAAUGUUAGAUAUGUCCCUAAUUUAAAGAGGAACCUCAUUUCCUUAGGUUCUCUUAAAGAUGAGGGAUAUACCUUCAAGUCUGGUAACAAGAUUUUGAAAAUUAUGAAGGGUUCUCUCAUAGUUAUAAAAGGGCCUAAGAGGAAUGGACUGUACUAUUUUGAGGGUAGAACUGAAAUACCAGUUGAUUCUAGCCUUCUUACUGUGAGUAAAGACAAAACUGAACUUUGGCAUAAUAGAAUGGGUCACAUUGGGUUUAAAGGGCUAAAAUCUUUAAGUAAUCAGAAAUUACUUGGAAAAGAUGACAUCGAAGCUAUGGAAUUCUGUGAAACUUGUGUUUUGGGUGAGUCCCAUAAGGUGAGCUUUGAAGCUAGCUCUCAUAGGACCAGCAAACUAUUGGACUAUGUCCAUGCUGAUCUAUGGGGCCCGGAGAAGCACUCUACAUUUGGUGGAAGCAAGUACUUCUUGUCCUUAGUGGAUGAUUACUUAAGAAAAGUUUGGAUUUAUCAUUUGAAGGCUAAGUUGGAAACUUUUGGGUUUGGUUAAAAUCUGUUGAGAAUCAGUUAGACAAGAAACUUAAAACGUUAAGAACUGAUAAUGGACUUGAAUUCUGUAAUAUCGAAUUUGACAACUUCUGUAAGCAGAAAUGUAUAACAAGACACAGAACUGUUAAAUACACACCUGAACAAAAUGGGAUCGCUGAAAGAAUGAACAGGACCAUAAUGAACAAAGUUAGGUGUAUGUUGAUUAGAUCUGGCUUUGCAAAAGGCUUUUGGGCUGAAGCUGCAAGUACUGCAGCUUAUUUGAUUAAUAGGUCUCCGUCCAGCAGUAUAGAGUUUAAGACCCCACAGGAGUUGUGGACGGGAGAGCCUCCAAAUCUAGAACACUUGAGGGUGUUUGGAUGUGCUGCAUAUGCACACCAAUCUGAAGGAAAACUUGAGCCGAGGGCUGUCAAGUGUGUGAUGUUAGGGUAUCCCGAGGGUGUGAAGGGCUAUAGGUUAUAGGUUUUAGGGGUCCAAUGCAUUAAGAUUAUUAACAGCAGAAAUGUAGUCUUUAAUGAAUCUGAGAUGCCAUAUCUAAAACAGAAAAUCGAAGAAACUAACAAAUCUGAAACUGAGAAGAGUAUUGAGACUGAGGUGAAGCUGACUAGGCUAAAUUCACCUACACCUGGGAAUGACUAAAAUGACCCUAUACAUCAUGAAAAUGAAAAUGAAAUUAUAAUUGAACCUGAACCUGAACCUGAAGAGGUGACUGAACUUCAAGAUAACAUUGAACCAGUUGAAGUUGAACAUUUUAAUGAUCAGCCACCUAAUCAAGAUUAUCAGCUUACUAGGGAUCGGGGGAGGAGGCAGAUCAGGCCAAAUCCUAGAUAUGAAUCCCUAAACUUGACUGAUUUUGCUUUGGCUUUAGGUGAAGCCUUUGAACAGAUAGAACCUGCUAGUUAUGAAGAAGCUGUUAAUGGAAAAUGUUCUGAAAAUUAGCUAAAAGCUAUGCAGGAAGAAAUGGAAUCUUUAAUCGAGAAUAAAACUUGGAAGUUGGUUAACAAACUUAAGGAUCAUAGGAUAGUUCAAUGUAAGUGGAUUUACAAAUUGAAAGAAGGAAAUAAUCCUAGUGAUCCUCCUAGGUAUAAGGCCAGAUUAGUGGCGAAGGGGUUUACUCAAAAAGAGGGGGUUGAUUACAAUGAGAUAUUCUCUCCUGUGAUAAAGUACAAAACAAUCAGACUGGUUCUUGCAUUGGUUGUUCAGUACAACUGGGAACUGGAACAACUAGAUGUCAAGACUGCUUUCCUACAUGGGGAAUUGGAAGAGGAUAUUUACAUGAGUCAGCCUCAAGGUUUUGAGGUGAAAGGUAAAAUAAACUGUGUGUGCAAAUUAGAAAGAUCUCUGUAUGGGCUUAAACAAAGCCCUAGACAGUGGUACAUAAGGUUCGAUACCUAUGUACUGAAGAUAGGUUUUAAAAGGAGUG
rnacentral:lncRNA from 1 species